GACUUCCAUCUAUUGAGGGUGAUACGAUUUUCCGACUACCCAUGUGGAAUGACAAAUUCAUUUCAUUUGUAAUAGCAAUUUGCCUCUUGCUAACUAACAACACAUUUACAGCUUGCUAAACCAACAACACAUUUAUGGCUUGCCAAACUAUGACACAAUCUAUGACCACGGUCGUGCCAAGCACAAUGGUCUUAUAUGUUAACUAUGGCCACGACCAUACUUCGCCCAAGAUGACCCGUACAAUCAUAUCGCGUCACCACUUUAAUCAGAGGGUACACUGUCAUCCACUAGGAGC
rnacentral:lncRNA from 1 species